ensembl:lncRNA
AUUUAAAGUCACCCCUAUUUAAAAAGCUUGUCAUUUCAGCCCUGUACUGUAACCAAUAGAUAUGCACACCAUCCCCCGGACCACCCCUUCUUGAGAAGGACGUGGCAACCCUGUCGUCGCCAGACUGUAUGGGGGGCAGUCAACUUCUUCCAUAUCCCUCUCUUAUGCCCCAAGCGAGUGGAGUGGUUACUUUUCAAUUCUCCAAUGCUUUGGUGCACUGAUGAUUUUCUUAGUGCCAUUGGCUUCACAUCCUGACAACCUUGAAAAAGUGCCUCACGUCCAUCAUAGUUUCCAUCUAAAACUUAACAGCUCUUGUUCUGGUUAUAUUGGUUUAUAUAUGUCUCGGUAUUUCUACCAUGGUUUGAAAAUUCUAAGUAUAUGAUGUAAAAUAUAUAGUUCAAUAACUCAUGUCAUAGUUGUAUUUUCUUUAUACAGAUGUAACUUGUUACUUUUCAUAAAUAUAUCAUGUAAAUAUGCAUACACUUGUAAUUUGUCAUAUCAAAUAACAUUAUCAUAAUAAAAUGGUGAGUUUUAA